rnacentral:rRNA from 1 species
CGUAGGAAUCUACCCAGUAGUGGGGGACAACUAGUGGAAACGCUAGCUAAUACCGCAUACGCCCUAAGGGGGAAAGCGGGGGAUCUUCGGACCUCGUGCUAUUGGAUGAGCCUGCGUAAGAUUAGCUUGUUGGUGAGGUAAUGGCUCACCAAGGCUACGAUCUUUAGCUGGUCUGAGAGGAUGAUCAGCCACACCGGGACUGAGACACGGCCCGGACUCCUACGGGAGGCAGCAGUCGGGAAUAUUGCGCAAUGGGCGAAAGCCUGACGCAGCCAUGCCGCGUGUGUGAAGAAGGCCCUAGGGUUGUAAAGCACUUUCAAUUGGGAGGAAAAGCUAAUACUUAAUACGUAUUAGCCCUGACGUUACCUUUAGAAGAAGCACCGGCUAACUCCGUGCCAGCAGCCGCGGUAAUACGGAGGGUGCAAGCGUUAAUCGGAAUUACUGGGCGUAAAGCGCGCGUAGGCGGUUUUUUAAGUCGGAUGUGAAAGCCCCGGGCUCAACCUGGGAACUGCAUCCGAUACUGGAUCACUAGAAUGCGGGAGAGGGA